rnacentral:rRNA from 1 species
GAUGAACGCUGGCGGCGUGCCUAAUACAUGCAAGUCGAGCGAUCGGACGAGAAGCUUGCUGCUGUGAGGUUAGGGGCGGACAAGUGAGUAACACGAGGAUAACCUCCUUCUACGACUGGGAUAACAUCGGGAAGCAGGUGCUACUACCGCGGAAUAUUUUGAACCUCAUGGUUCAAGAGUGUAAGACGGUCUUGCUGUCACUGGUGGAUGGUCCCGCGCUGUAUUAGCUAGUUGGUAGGGUAACGGCUUACCAAGGCAACGAUGCCUAGCCGCCCUGAUAGGGUGAUCGGCCGCACUGGAACGGAUGCGCGGUCCACACUCCUACGGGAGGCAGCAGUAGUGAAGCUUCCUCAAUGGGCGGAAGCCUGAUGGUGCAGCGCCGCGUGAGUGAUGAAGGUCUUCUUCGCGUAAUGCUCUGUUAUUGGCGAAGAAGAUGUCUGGCCGUAUCUGUGCACGGGUUGACGGUACCUAAACAAGAAGCCCCGGCUAACUACGUG